ACACAUACAAUGAACUCUACUUGGAUUCCUCUUCAAGACAUCAUGGGUGAUGCUAACUUGAGUUUCUGAUGGA
rfam:Gossypium hirsutum cultivar TM-1 chromosome 19, whole genome shotgun sequence